rnacentral:rRNA from 1 species
CUCAGUCAUAAACCCAGACGUCCAACUACAAUAGACGCCCGCCCGGGUACUACGAGCAUUAGCUUGAAACCCAAAGGACCUGACGGUGCCUCAGACCCCCCUAGAGGAGCCUGUUCUAGAACCGAUAACCCCCGUUUAACCUCACCGCUUCUAGCCAUCCCAGCCUAUAUACCGCCGUCGUCAGCUUACCCUGUGAAGGUAAUAAAAGUAAGCAGAAUGGGUAUAGCCCAGAACGUCAGGUCGAGGUGUAGCGUACGAAGCGGGAAGAAAUGGGCUACAUUUUCUAUUAUAGAACACUACGGAUGUGCAACAUGAAAUAGUGCUUGAAGGAGGAUUUAGUAGUAAAAAGGAAGCAACGUGUCCUUUUGAACCCGGCUCUGAGACGCGUAC